GAAAACAUUUCAAACAUAUCUCAGAGUUUACCGAAUUCCAACGGUGAAGGAAAAGGAGGAGCAGGAGGAGGAGAAGAAGAAGAAGAAGAAGAAGAAGAAGAAGAAGAAGAAGAAGAAGAAGAAGAAGAAGAAGAAGAAGAAGAAGAAGAAGAAGAAGGUAGGGAUCAUGAUGUGGAGGAAGUUGGAUGGGCAGUCAAGCAGGGCAGACAGCAAAGAGGAGGAGGAGGAGGAGGAGGAGGAGGAGGAAGAAGAGGAGGAGAAGGAGGAGGAGGCAGAGGAAAGUGCCAGUAUGCCCAGUGAAGUGCCAGCGAGUGCCACGGAGGGCCAGGGCAGUGGCGGCGCGCGGCUGAGAGAGAGAGAGAGAGAGAGAGCGGCUAACUUUAUUUUUGUGUUGUACUCUGUGCGACGCGUGAGGACAGAAGAAGGUGAAGAGAAGGAAGGAAGAAAGAAAGUGAGGUUGAGGAGAGUGAAGUGAAGAGAAAGUGCAAGAGAGAAAAGGAAAGUGAGUGAAGAGUGACAGCGAAGGAAGAAAAUAAAAAAAAGGAAGGAAGAAAGAAUGGAAUGUUAGACUGAAGAAUUAUAACAACGAUGAGUAUGUAAAUCGAGUUAUAAAAAAAAAAGUAAGCGAAGGAAGGAAUAGGAAGAUAAGACUGAAGAAUGAAAACAGUGAUGAUGGACUUAUAGAAAAAAAAAAAUCGCCCGCGCCAUGUUCCGUCAAGUUGUGAGGAGAAUGAUGUGAAAAGAAAGUGAGAGAGAAAAUGAAAGUGAGCGACAGACAAAGUAAGGAAGGUUAGACUAAAAAAAAAAAAAUGCGCCUCACCGAGUUUAUUAUCCAAAGUAAGACAUGAGGUAGAAAGAAGAAAACAACAAUAGUAAUAUGAUAAAGGGAAGAGCGUAUAAUAAGAAAAUAAGAAGAAAAGGGGGAAAGAAAAAGUAAAAGAAAAUAAUAAAAACGCUCUCUUCCAUAAAUUUGUCACCUCACAUCUGAAGGAAAAAGAAGAAAACAAGAAAGAAAAUAAUGGAAAAUAA